rnacentral:rRNA from 1 species
UACGUAGGGACCGAGCGUUGUCCGGAUUCAUUGGGCGUAAAGAGCUCGUAGGCGGCCACUCAAGUCGAAUGUGAAACCUCGAGGCUUAACCUCGAGCCUGCAUUCGAUACUGGGCGGCUAGAGUCUGGUAGGGGGAUCUGGAAUUCCUGGUGUAGCGGUGGAAUGCGCAGAUAUCAGGAGGAACACCGACGGCGAAGGCAGCUCGCUGGGACGGUACUGACGCUGAGGCGCGAAAGCGUGGGGAGCGAACAGG